GGGGAAUAUUGGACAAUGGGCGAAAGCCUGAUCCAGCCAUGCCGCGUGAGCGAUGAAGGCCUUCGGGUCGUAAAGCUCUGUCCUCAAGGAAGAUAAUGACGGUACUUGAGGAGGAAGCCCUGGCUAACUACGUGCCAGCAGCCGCGGUAAUACGUAGGGGGCUAGCGUUAUCCGGAUUUACUGGGCGUAAAGGGUGCGUAGGCGGUCUUUUAAGUCAGGAGUGAAAGGCUACGGCUCAACCGUAGUAAGCUCUUGAAACUGGAGGACUUGAGUGCAGGAGAGGAGAGUGGAAUUCCUAGUGUAGCGGUGAAAUGCGUAGAUAUUAGGAGGAACACCAGUAGCGAAGGCGGCUCUCUGGACUGUAACUGACGCUGAGGCACGAAAGCGUGGGGAGCAAAC
rnacentral:rRNA from 1 species